CGAAAGUUAGAGGUUCGAAGGCGAUCAGAUACCGCCCUAGUUCUAACCAUAAACGAUGCCAGCCAGCGAUCCGGCUGCGUUCCUCAAAUGACGCGCCGGGCAGCUUCCGGGAAACCAAAGCUUUUGGGUUCCGGGGGAAGUAUGGUUGCAAGGCUUAAACUUAAAGGAAUUGACGGAAGGGCACCACCAGGAUUGGAGCCUGCGGCUUAAUUUGACUCAACACGGGGAAACUCACCCGAACCGGACACAGGAAGGAUUGACAGAUUAAGAGCUCUUUCUUGAUUCUGUGGGUGGUGGUGCAUGGCCGUUUCUAGUUGGUGGAGUGAUUUGUCUGCUUAAUUGCGUCAACGAACGAGAUUCUAGCCUGCUAAAUAGGCGUUCCGAUCCUUCGAGUCGGACGCUCUUCUUAGAGGGACAGGCGGCGUUUAGCCGCACGAGACAGAGCUAAAACAGGUCUGUGAUGCCCUUCGAUGUCCGGGGCCGCACGCGCGCUACAUUGAAGGAAUCAGCGUGUGCUUUCCCUGUCCGACAGGACUGGGUAACCCGUUGAACCUCCUUCGUGCUGGGGAUAGCAAAAUGCAAUUAAUUGCUUGAACGAGGAAUUCCCAGUAAGCACGAGUCAUCAGCUCGUGUUGACUAUGUCCCUGCCCUUUGUGCACACCGCCCGUCGCUACUACCGAUUGAAUGGUUUAGUGAGGUCCUCGGACUGGCGCUCGGAUUGGCUUUCGGGUCGAGCCGACGUGCCGGAAAGAUGACCAAACUUGAUCAUUUAGAGGAAGUAAAAGUCGUAACAAGG
rnacentral:rRNA from 1 species